CAGCAUUUUCACCUGCUGGAUGAUAAAACCCUCAGAUGCACAUGGAAGGAGACUGUUUUGACCACCCUAGCAACUGUAUAACACCCUGGCAACCAUCCACAAAAGGCUAUGUGGAUGUGCACAGAUCCCCUGAGAGGAUUUGCACGCAGUACAGGAUGAUGCAUCAAACCCCAAUUCCUCUGCAGUAUAAGAGGACUGAUAGCAGUUCUGGAUGUUUUCAACAAACAAGUGUAUGCGUUUGCAAUUCCCACAUUUCUCAGCGAGAGAAUAACAGUUACCAAACCUCCUGUUUAUAACCUCAAAAGAUCCCGCACCAGCACACAAUAAGUCAUAAAUCCUGGAAAUGAAAUCUGCCGUGUGCACGAGGCACCAUCCAGGAGACACAAACCCACGCGUGGUGCUGAUACGGCAGCCCAUCUACAAUCGCCCCACAUCUGAAUAAUGGCACUGCCGACACGGCCCUGAGAUUCAUGCGGCUCUGCGCUCGGCCCGGGACUCUAUAUUUCUUCUGUUGCCAAUAAAGGAGGAGUCCUGCUGCCUGCCGACAAUAAUGACAUCAUGAGCGCCUGUGCCGAUGAUAUGGAGGUGAUGGAUACUGUGAGCUCCUCCUUCAGAGAGAUGUGAGGAUAAGUUGUUGCAUGACUCGAUUUCUGUACAACUAAGUUCCCAGGAGCCUCAUUAGAGACAGAAGUGUUUGGCAUCAUCUGGGAGAGUAAUUAACGGCAUAAGUUUAACACGUGGAGCUGCGCGCCGGGACGUUUCCCACAGCAUCGCAUCCUCAAAUCCCCACGCAGACGCUUCGCCAGCGACCCCAGACAGACUGUAAAUGUCAGUGUUAAAGGUAAAUGUACCCAAAGACAACAGUUUAACGUCACACACUGCAAAUAUCAAUGGCU